rnacentral:rRNA from 1 species
AUGAUGCGCCGCUGCGAGCUCCCCGCCCGCGAUCUCCGCCUCCUCGACCCGCUCUUCGUCUACCCCUCCACCGUCCUCGGCUGUGAGCGCGCCAUCAUCGUCAACCUCGAGCAAAUCCGCUGCAUCAUCACCGCUGACGAGGUGCUCCUCCUCAACUCCUUCAACAGCUAUGUCUUCCAGUACGCCGCCGAGCUGCAGCGCCGCCUCCUCCAGGGCGCUGAGGGCGACGAGCUCCCCUUCGAGUUCCGUGCCCUCGAGCUCGCCCUCGAGGCCGCCUCCUCCUUCCUCGACGCCCAGGUACCCUACAUCUCUGGGUACAAGAACUGGUUCCAUAACUUCAUCAAGCACCUGCGUGAAAUCGGUGAUGAGUUCAUCCUUCACCUGGGAGGCCACUUGAAGGAUUAUAACAGCAUGACAUAUCAAAGCUUUCUUGUCAAAUAUAUUUUGAGUAAAUUCAAGACGAAAGAUGUUCAAAGAAGCUCCAAGACAUUCUUAUAUAGCAAGUUAUGUAAUAAUAGCUGGGUUAUCUGGGAAUUUAAUGUAUCUUCUCUCUGUUUGUGA